rnacentral:rRNA from 1 species
UACGUAGGGCGCAAGCGUUAUCCGGAUUUAUUGGGCGUAAAGAGCUCGUAGGCGGUUGGGUAAGUCGGGUGUGAAAAACUCCAGGCUCAACUUGGAGACGCCACCCGAUACUGCUCUGACUUGAGUUCGGUAGGGGAGUGGGGAAUUCCUGGUGUAGCGGUGAAAUGCGCAGAUAUCAGGAGGAACACCGGUGGCGAAGGCGCCACUCUGGGCCGAAACUGACGCUGAGGAGCGAAAGCGUGGGUAGCAAACAGG